GGGGGGGGUGCUUACGGUUGCUUUGGAAGGGUAACACAGUUUGAAGAUGGAGGACAGCGACGGCGCUUCUGCGGCGCAGUGAAGUGGAUGACCUGCAUCACACAGCACAUGAAGUCAGAGACACACUUCUCAAUUUUGCUGCUGAUAUGAACAUCCCAGCCAACAAUAAGGAAGUAGAACAGUGGAAAAAGGCCAGUGAUCCCCAAGAUGCUGCAGUUUUGUUUAAAAGGCAUCUCUUAAAGGAAAAGGAGGAGAACUCCACAAUCACAGCUAUCAUUGACAUUCGACAAGAUCGAAUCCCAGAGCCGAGAGAUCAUUGCUUUCUACAAAAGACCACAGAUUGAUUGGGCAGGACCUUUUUGUUGUUCUUCACAAGGUGACACAGCUGUUGGCACUCGGGUCCAGAGACAUUUUUUCAGCAUGGCAAUGCUAAAGUUGGAACAUGGCUUUAACAUCCAUAGCGGUGAUAGGCCGAACUAAAAGGCAGACAAAAUACAUCAGAAAAUGUCUGAAGGACACCGGAUUGUUGACUAUGCUUCAAGAAAGACCUGACACAGCCUCAGUGGUCUUUCCCCAGCAUGAAGACAGCAUUCUUACUGCACAGCCACAUUGUUUGGCCAGGAGAUGAGGGCGAUGAUGAAGACGAUGAUGAUCCACCUUACCCGCUAAGCAUCCAAAUGCAAACAGUGGGAUUUCUGAAGACCUACAUUGAAACGGGCAAGUGUAAUUGCAUUGUGAUUCAAAAUUUGAAUCUAAUUUGAUUUCUAAUGCAUUUAUUAUUUUUACAGCCAAUCCGGUCAUGAGAGUUUUUGUCACUUUCAAGCUGUUAUCAAUAAGGUCAGGUUUUGAGCUAUGAAAAUUGGCUGCUUAUUUUCCUGAUUGUUUUUGAGGUUGUUUGAAAUAAUUUUGUAAAUCAAAAGGAAAUAUGCCUGAACACCCCAAAUUAAACUUCAAAAGUUGUCAAGGACAUGGAUUUGGAGCAGCAGUUAUUGGACUUAAAUACAAGGUACAUUCUAGACUGGUCACCACUCCAUCAAAGUUAAGAAAAAGAAUUUUUAUUGUCAGACUGUAAAUACAGUAGAUUAAUUGAAUAUUGCCUUUACAAUUAAAAAAAAAAAGAAAUAUGCAAAUCAGCAGGAAUAGGUAUGAUGGCACCUAAACAAAAUUUUAUUGAAGCUAUUAUUAAACAAAGGACUUACAAGAGAACAGAAAGUAUUUAUCAGGUUACCUUUCCAUUAACUGACAGAUUAUCAGGAAAAUAUAUUAUAACUGUAAACUCAUCUAACACAAAAUGCAUGAACAUUAAAAACUGAAAAUAUUGAUGCAGACUUUUACCAACUGUCCUUGCAUACAAAAACUGAUAAUUCAACAUAAUGUAAACAUCUGGCAGUGCGUCUUAUUUUCAACCAUCACUCUAGAUAAAGCUAUAAAUCCUGCCUGUUCUCAAGAAUGCCUUCCACAUACUGGACACGGGAACUGUAAAUGUCAGCCCCAUAGGACAUAGAGGGUUCCAUGGGAUUGAAACAGUAUCUCAGUCUUUCCAAAUCCUCACUGACAAGUGGAGACAAGUUCUGGAAGCUGAAUACCAGUUUGGUCCAAGUCUGCAAUGUCCACAUCUGGAUACUUUACCUGAAAUUAGACACCAUCAAUUCAGAAAGUCUUUAAAAUACAUUCUUUAUUAUUUUUGUCAAUGAUAUACAUAUAUUUUUUUUCAAAAAAGCGAUUUGAAGAAUUUAGAGAUGUAUAAUCAUACCACAAUACUUUCAGGAGGAUUUACUGGAUUCUGAGUCUUUCCAAUCUCCCAUAGUUGGUUUGGGGUGUUAUAGGUAAAUGUUAUGAGAACUUGCUGUAAUUUAAAGCAAUACAGUAAUUCACUUUAAAACGUAAUCUUGUUAAUAACACAUUCAAUAAUUAAAGCCAGAAUACAACACCUGGCAAUCAAAAAUAUAUUUUUGUUGUAAAUUAAAUGGUAAAAUGGUAAAUGACCUGUAUUUGUAUUUACUAGUCCCUAAGGACCCCAACCCAGUGGGUUAAAUGGUUGAGGAAACGGGACAUAUGGAAGUUAAGGUACAUGGCAGGUCUACAAAACGAACUAAUAUCCUGAAGAACACAAAAUCCAGCAGGAGAUCCAUGUGGACUUUCAGUUGAUCCAUCUACUGUUUGUCUGUAAGUCUGAAAUGACACCACUGAAAACUUAGUGGAGGCUCUGUUAAGGUUUUGGGCUGAACUAGGCUGAUACAGUAUUACCUAACCUAACCUAACAAUACAUGAAGAGGCAACUACUUAAAGAGGUCUUGAAGUAAAUGGCCUGUAUUUGUAUAGCGCUUUACUAGUCCCUAAGGACCCCAAAG